UUACACUAAUGCAUAACGACAUCUAUUAUCCUGCAGCAUGUUCCUUUGUGAAUUAAAAACAUAAAAUAUCACAUAACAUCACAUGACACAAUCACUCAAGCUCAUAAUGAGUAUAAAUAUAAAUAUGUCGUUUUAAAACAUCCCAUAACAUCACAUGAAAUACUCACUCAAGCACAUAAUGGUAUAUAUAUAUAUAUAUAUAUAUUAUAAUUUGUUGGUAUAUAUUAUGUAAAUGUAUAAGUACUGAACUACCAAUUAUGCUUCAACUGCACCUCUUCCCACACCAAGAGUGAGGGAGGAGUUUGACAGGAGCAGCUUACAAUCUUGGGCUCCUCUCACUGAGAAGCAGAAUUCACCCAGCGUUGGACGCUUCACCCAGUUAUAGGGAUGGUGAGCUGGUGUGACAGGCUCCAACGGUCCGUGUGGAACUCCACUGGGCCUGCUUCUGGAGUACCGGGGGCACCACUGCACUCUGAGAACAGCUGGUGCUGUCGUCUCCAAUGAGCAGAAGGCAUGGAGACCAGUCUCUGAAGCAUGGCCGCCGAGCGGUCUCGAGGGUGAUGGUCUCUGACCUCCUCUAAAAGGUUGGACAUGGAAGGCACGGAGGUGACGUCCAACUCCUCCACUUGCAAUAUGUCGAGAUCACAGCAGUCCAGCACCAGAGUGAAGUCCCCAUCAUCGCUUGUGCUUUCCAGUGAUGUUCCUACAGAUAAAGGGCUGGUUUCUGGUAUUGGUCCAGCCCUUGUGCCGCAGUUAGACAUAGAUGCUGAUUCAUUCACCGUGCUUUCUCCGGACACCAAAGCCUCAGAUGAAUCCAUGUAUCCUUCGCACGGUGACCUGGCCAUGUCAGUCUGUCGCAACCCGACUCCAGCUCCAUCUGUAGCUUCUACAACAGGUUCCAGGAAUAAAGCUAUGCUACCAGCGAUAA